AUUAUUGUGAACCUGAUGUUGUGUUGCCUUGUUUGGUGUUCAUUACUGGUUUACGUGUUUAUGUUUGAUUUGAUAAUUGAGAUUAAGAAAAAUAGAAAAAGGUAUGUGAAUUGAUAAAUGGAUAAUGCCGACAGCCUAACUAGAUAUCCUUGGAGAUGGUGGACAAACCGGAUCUAUAGGGAACCCUACUGGGAACGUAGUCUCUCAUAUCGGAUGGGGUAUGGAGACUUUAUGUGUUUUGGCGCCCAUACCGGACGGGGUAUGGGGACGGCCCGUUUCACCCUCAUACCGGACGGGGUAUUGAGAUUUAUGAUUUUGGCGCUCAUACCAGACGGGGU
rnacentral:lncRNA from 1 species